rnacentral:rRNA from 1 species
UGCCCGCCCGGGCACUACGAGCAUAAGCUUAAAACCCAAAGGACUUGGCGGUGCUUGAAAUCCACCUAGAGGAGCCUGUUCUGAAACUGAUAACCCCCGUUAAACCUCACCCUCUUUUGUUUUUUCCGUCUAUAUACCGCCGUCGUCAGCUUACCCUGUGAAGGCACAUUAGUAAGCAAAACUAGCACAGCUCAAAACGUCAGGUCGAGGUGUAGCAUAUAAGAGGGGAAGAAAUGGGCUACAUUCCCUACCCUAGGGAAAACGAAAAAUGCCCUGAAACGUGCAUUGGAAGGAGGAUUUAGUAGUAAGCAAAGAAUAGAGUGCUUUGCUGAAUAUGGCCCUAAAGCGCGCACACACC